AGGUACCACUGUACUGUACUGUAAAAUAAAUAAGAUGGUAUUGUAGAUGAUAAAAAAUAAAAUUGAAUUUUUUUCUUACCUGCACUGAUAGUCAUUGUUUGGAUGGGGGGCUUUUAUCCAUUUCCACACUCACACAAUCAGUAGCUGAACAGGGUUUCACACAGUCACAAAAACAAAUGAACUGAAAGAGCCUCUAAAACAAAAACUCCAAACUUAAUCCGUUCUGGAAGUGUUUGACUUCCGAAAUGUUCAAAAACUAAGGCACAGCUUCUGAUUGGUGCAGGCGCCCCGGAAACAAUAGCCGACAACCACAUUGGACUUUCGGCUUCCGAAAAACAUUCAAAAACCGGAACACUUACUUCUGGGUUUUCAGUGUUUGAGAACCAAGGUGUUUGAUUCCAACAGAUUCCACACGAAAAACGCUUAUGUCCCUGUGGAGAUGGCAGUACUGAAUCGGUGGCGCAUGCCCUCCUGGCUUGCACUCUUUAUAAAGACUUGAGGAAUGAGAUUAUCACCCCUCUUUUAUUGUCCAUUCCGGGUCGCCCAACCACUGCCACAGUCUCCUUUCUCUUGGCACAUCAAGAUGAGCAGGUGACGGCAAAAGUUGCAAGGUUUUUAGCUGGGGCAAUCAGAAUAAGAUCUACUAUUUGACUAUUGAUUCAAAACCCUAAAAUGUAUUUUAUAUAAUGGAUUUUUUAUUUCUAUUCUUUGUAUUGUUGUUUUAUUGCUAUGGCCAAUGGCUGACGCAAACAAAGAUUCAUUCAUUCAUUCAACCAAGGCGUUUGAGAACCAAGGUACCACUGUACAGCAGAACUGAGUUGCACAAGUAUAGCUGUCCCUGCUGCUGCUCCUUGUGCAGUCCAGCAGGGGCAGGCUGUCCCCUCUCAGUUGUCAGCGCUUGUGUGUGCCUCAAGCUCUUUUGCUGAUGGGCAGUAGACAGAGAAGCUGAGCCAGGAGGAUGCACUCCUAAAAUCCUGCCCCCAAGGCUUCUGCCACCUGCCCACAUGCUCCCAAAGGAAGCCCAGCAGAUGUUUCGGGUGCUACUGAGAUGGUCCCUGGAGCCACAGUCAGACCGGACCUGUUUUGGACCAGACUGACCACGAGAGCGCUGUUCACACAGGUGUGUUUGGAGCAAUGAGAAGUACAGGGGUGGGCUGGGGGUGCAGGGUGAGAGUUAAAAGGCUUAAAACAGACUCCUGUGGUCUUUUGACAGCAGUCCGAGACAGAAACUCAACGGACUGUGCUUUCCCUAGCACUGUAUUCAAUUGAUUGUUGUGGUUUUGAAAAAUCUAGAAGAUUAUCUAACAGGAAAUCCUGCUAGGGUAAGGGUUUUUUUAUUGUAAGGUGGGGCUCAAGGUGGGGUUACAUGGAUCUCCCCCUCCUCAUUUAGUCCCCACAGCAACCCUGCGAAGUAGGCUAGGCUGAGAAGAAUGACUGGCCCAAGGUCACCCAGCGAGCUUUGUGGCCAAAUUUGAACCCUGGCCACCCAGGUCCUCUAACCAUUACACAACGCUGAGGUUUUGAGUUCCCAAACUGGGAAGGUGUGUGGGCCUGCUCUCACACCCUUGAAGAGCAGGCUGAAUUCGCAAGGGGGUCUUUUUCACAGCAUCAAACCAAACAAGAUGACCUGCUAACGUCUGCAUGCAGCUCUUAAAGGCGUUGUGCAGAGGCUGCUUAGAAAUUUGGCAACCCUAACUGAGCAAGUGGCUUAAGAAACACAGUCAGCUGUUGAAUAAGUCACUCAGUACAGACUAACCCACUUCAUACAAGUUUUGGCAAUGUUCCUGAACGAGCCCUUUUUGGGAUGCGGUAGCUAAGCAAAUUAAUACAGUCCUGAAAUACCAGGAGCGUUUUUUUCAUCCUUGCGGCUGCAAUCCCGUCCCUGCUUAACCUGCAUGAGUGAGCCCCAAGGGAAUGCACUGUUACAGCACAAAUCUACGUUUAUUUACCUGGAAGUAAAUAAACUACGGUGUUCAAUGGGGAUUGCUCUCCUCAGGUAAGCAUGCAGAGGAUUACGAGCCUUUAUUUACUCUAAAUCUGUAUUUCUGUCACCUGGGUGCUUAAUCCUAAGGGACGGAAAGCAUGGCUUGCUAGAGAAACCUUGAAAAAGAGAAACUAGGGCACCAGCAGGAGGAAAUAUUAAACCCAGGGUUCCUCCAGAUGACCUUAUUGUGCAUCAUCCUGAUUUGAUCGCACAAAGCUUAGAUGGUAGUUGAACAAGGUCAGGUCUUUAAUGUUUUGAUUUCCUUUUGUGGGGUGGUUAUAUGACAAUAAGCAGUCCUCCCGAUUUGCUUGAGGAUUGUUUACAUGUCUUAUUGUUUAUUUAACCUACACUUUUGAGGGCCUUUCCCUGUAAUUUUCCAAACUGCAAGAAGUCUGUCGCUAUUUAAGUGGAUUUGUUGGGCUAGGGCGACAGGGCGCUUUAAUAAACUUUUAGUACACAAACCU